ensembl:lncRNA
CUGCUGACCAGGAAAGGGAGUAGGACAGGAAAUGUAGACAUUUACUGAUGAAUUUAUAAAUGUCAGUUCUUAUUCCAGUGAUGGUGUUUAUAACUGCAGAGUAAAGAGAUUGCAGAAUUUUGUUGGGUAAACACAAAGUAGAUUUCCAAACAGAUAAUAUACCUGUCUUGAGCAAGGGAUGCUGCUCCUAUGACAUCUAAGAUCAAGAUCCCAACAGAUUGCUCAGGCCUCUGACUUAGUUACCUGAACAUUUUUAUGCAGUCCAGAAGAAUAAUGACUAUGAUUUGGCUUGGUUCAUCCACCACUUCUACAGCUUUAUCUCAUCUUUACCAGUAUGCAGAUCCAUUUGUCCACCAGCUGAAAGCACUGUACAACAACAGAAUGGAAGUUCUAGGUCAAAGAAAUGCACUGCAAAGUCACUCCAGAGAAAAACAUCUGCUCCAGGUCAUGCUGCUCCUAGGUCAAGAACCAACAUGAGAGCUAUUCGUCAGUCACUACUUUUUUCAUAUAUUGAAGUUUGUUAUCACUUUAGAGAUACAUAGGUGGGAUAAAAAUGGUCCUGAUAUGAGUGAAAACUAUGAGGUCAAUGCAGCAAGCAAGAAAAUUCAACAUCUGUACUUACUGUGCUUACAUUGUCAUUUCUGAGGAUGAUACAACUUUCAACAAAGCAGGCAAUGGAGACACAGUGGGGCAUUUGAAUGGGGUCACCCCAGAGUGUCUGGAGUGCAUACAUGCUUAUGUGCAUAUGUAUGUGUUGUGGGGAAAGGGAAGGAGUUAGAUAAAACACUCGUAAGUAAUACAGGCAGCUACAACAAUUUCUGCAGAACUCAGAUCAGGUGAAUUUCACCUCCUUUAUCUGAACAUAUGCACACCACUAUUAAUUUUCUUAUUAGUCCUCCAACUUGUUCAUGUUCUCUUUGACAUUUACCAUUUUGUCUGUAUGCAGACAAGACUCAUAAAAUGUGCAUUUAUAG